rnacentral:rRNA from 1 species
CCUACGGGGGGCUGCAGUGGGGAAUAUUGGACAAUGGGGGGAACCCUGAUCCAGCGACGCCGCGUGAGUGAAGAAGUAUUUCGGUAUGUAAAGCUCUAUCAGCAGGGAAGAAAGAAAUGACGGUACCUGACUAAGAAGCCCCGGCUAACUACGUGCCAGCAGCCGCGGUAAUACGUAGGGGGCAAGCGUUAUCCGGAUUUACUGGGUGUAAAGGGAGCGUAGACGGCGAUGCAAGUCUGAAGUGAAAGGCGGGGGCCCAACCUCUUCGAGCCGUUGAAACUGGUUUUCUUGAGUGAGCGAGAAGUAUGCGGAAUGCGUGGUGUAGCGGUGAAAUGCAUAGAUAUCACGCAGAACUCCGAUUGCGAAGGCAGCAUACCGGCGCUCAACUGACGCUCAUGCACGAAAGUGUGGGUAUCGAACAGGAUUAGAUACCCCAGUAGUC